rnacentral:rRNA from 1 species
CUCAGUUCGGACUGGAGUCUGCAACCCGACUCCACGAAGCUGGAUUCGCUAGUAAUCGCGCAUCAGCCACGGCGCGGUGAAUACGUUCCCGGGCCUUGUACACACCGCCCGUCAAGCCAUGGGAGCCGGGGGUACCUGAAGUGCGUAACCGCGAGGAGCGCCCUAGGGUAAAACUGGUGACUGGGGCUAAGUCGUAACAAGGUAUC